ACCCACGUCCCUCUCCUCCACUCUCUUCAAUUAUUUCUUGUUUUUUAUUUAAUUUCUUGUUAAAUUUUGGAGCGAGCGGUGUCAAACGAUGGAAAUAUUCCCCCAAAAUUGCAAAGACUUCGUUCCAAAUCACGACUUCAAGCCCUCUUCGACAUCUGAAGCAGAGUUAAAAUUUAAAACCCUAGAGCGAUUGCAACAAAGUUGGACAGUGACGUGAGCGACAAAGAAUGUACUCCAAAUAUUGUUGCCAAACUCUGAUUAUAUCAUUGUUGAAGUCAUGCGAGUUCUGGCUGAGGUGGAUCGCC